CCUACGGGUGGCAGCAGUGGGGAAUAUUGGACAAUGGGCGAAAGCCUGAUCCAGCCAUGCCGCGUGUGUGAAGAAGGCCUUCGGGUUGUAAAGCACUUUCAGUGGGGAAGAAAGCCUUGGGGCUAAUACCCUCGAGGAAGGACAUCACCCACAGAAGAAGCACCGGCUAACUCCGUGCCAGCAGCCGCGGUAAUACGGAGGGUGCGAGCGUUAGUCGGAAUUACUGGGCGUAAAGCGCGCGUAGGCGGUCUGAUAAGCCGGUUGUGAAAGCCCCGGGCUCAACCUGGGAACGGCAUCCGGAACUGUCAGGCUAGAGUGCAGGAGAGGAAGGUAGAAUUCCCGGUGUAGCGGUGAAAUGCGUAGAGAUCGGGAGGAAUACCAGUGGCGAAGGCGGCCUUCUGGACUGACACUGACGCUGAGGUGCGAAAGCGUGGGUAGCAAACAGGAUUAGAUACCCCAGUAGUC
rnacentral:rRNA from 1 species